AAUUCUCAACCCCCCUAUUUUUUAAUGAAAUAGGCUUGCGGGCUUGGAUUAUGGCUGGCUGUCGGCUCGUCACGAGUCGGCUCAGCUGAAAUACACGAGCGACCCAGCUGAAACAGUGACGGCUUGACUCGGCGUGAUAACCUAUUUCGCUGAGGACGUCCACCGGACGUUUCAAGUGGUGGGGGGCUUCUAACGCAAUAUCGAACUCUUAAGAUUUUA
rnacentral:misc_RNA from 1 species